GAUCUUAAUUGUAAAUUUUGCAACCUAAUCUUCCACAGUACUAUUCAGCCCCGACCACGGACACUGCUUUUUUAUUAUUUAAGUUAAACGCGUGCGAACGCCCUAUUGUGCACGCUCAAAAUGGCAAAGUUGUCAUUUUUUGUUUUUUCGCAAUUUUGUUAAGCCAUUUUAUUUUUACGUUUCGUGCGAGUGUUUUUUACGCUUCUAAACUGUCUAUCUCCCUAACUAUUUUGCGCUCGCGACGGACCAUAUUAUCCGCAUGCAACCGCCUUGAGUCGCGAUUCCCGCCAUAAGAGAGGGGACCUAGUCGCUGGUAGCGGACUGUUUUUCAUGAAGUAAGACCGGCUACCAGGAAAAUACAUGCUUUACCUUACUACGGGAGAGAAAAUGUUUGAAAAAACUUUGCCACCAUAAUUGCCUUAUUCUCGCCAAUCCAAACGACCAACACGAUUUCCACCAAGUCUUCUUACGGGUACCAUUUGCACCCUCUAAGCUAUGGGUACCAUUUGUACCCCCUAACCCCAAGACAAACGAUGCCAGUUUUUUUGAAAAAGGUUUAAAUGAGGAAAGUGACAAAUUUCUUUUUUACUAACAAGAUAUUACAAAGAAUCAAACAGCAAUUUCCAAUCGUUUAUUUCGAAAAAACAAAACUCUGGCAAAGCUUUUCUUGUACACAUCCUGCCUCAUGACCCUGUCUAAACUGUUGCGUUGCUGCGCUUGUAAUGCGUGCGCACCAAGGCAGUAUAUUUACACACACGGAAACAAUGGCAAAAUAAACGAAUCAUUAUAACCAUGUAAUAACCAUACACUCAAAUGUUCUCUCUUUUCAGAUCGGUUUUCAAACUCAGAAGCUGACGAAUUCCGAAAGUACAGUUUUUGCAAAGAAAAUCAUUGUUAUAAACUUUCGUUCAAGCUAUCAAAGUCUACUGAACAGAAAAUACAUGAAAUGUCUAAAUAUACUGAACAUUUAGACCCCCCAGGAUUUAUGCCAGAUUUCAUUGUACCCAGAACAACAAAACAAGCAAUGGCUCGGGUACAAGUAUCUACAUAUCUACAGCCAAUGUUCAAAGAAGAACAUUGAAGAAAGAACAGACAACAAACAAGAACAGCAUCUAACCUUUUUGCUGUUUUUUUGUCCCUCUAUAAAAAAAGUCGUCAAAAUGAACGAGAAGUUAAGCCUAUAUAUAGCCUUACUUUUUUGCUGUUUUUUGCCCACUUAUGAGAUAUAGAAAAAAUCGCUAAAAAUGGCC
rnacentral:lncRNA from 1 species